GAUGAACGCUGGCGGCGUGCCUAAUACAUGCAAGUCGAGCGAACAGACGAGGAGCUUGCUCCUCUGACGUUAGCGGCGGACAGGUGAGUAACACGUGGAUAACCUACCUAUAAGACUGGGAUAACUUCGGGAAACCGGAGCUAAUACCGGAUAAUAUAUUGAACCGCAUGGUUCAAUAGUGAAAGACGGUUUUGCUGUCACUUAUAGAUGGAUCCGCGCCGCAUUAGCUAGUUGGUAAGGUAACGGCUUACCAAGGCGAGGAUGCGUAGCCGACCUGAGAGGGUGAUCGGCCACACUGUAACUGAGACACGGUCCAGACUCCUACGGGAGGCAGCAGUAGGGAAUCUUCCGCAAUGGGCGAAAGCCUGACGGAGCAACGCCGCGUGAGUGAUGAAGGUCUUCGGAUCGUAAAACUCUGUUAUUAUUGAAGAACAAAUGUGUAAGUAACUAUGCACGUCUUGACGGUACCUAAUCAGAAAGCCACGGCUAACUACGUG
rnacentral:rRNA from 1 species